rnacentral:rRNA from 1 species
AACGAACGCUGGCGGCAGGCCUAACACAUGCAAGUCGAACGCCCUAGCAAUAGGGAGUGGCAGACGGGUGAGUAACGCGUGGGAACCUUCCCUGUGGUGCGGAAUAACUCGCCGAAAGGCGUGCUAAUACCGCAUAAGCCCGAAAGGGGAAAGAUUUAUCGCCAUAGGAUGGGCCCGCGUAGGAUUAGCUAGUUGGUGAGGUAAUGGCUCACCAAGGCGACGAUCCUUAGCUGGUGAGAGAAUGACCAGCCACACUGGGACUGAGACACGGCCCAGACUCCUACGGGAGGCAGCAGUGGGGAAUCUUGGACAAUGGGCGCAAGCCUGAUCCAGCCAUGCCGCGUGAGUGACGAAGGCC